rnacentral:misc_RNA from 1 species
GUAGGUGAACCUGCGGAAGGAUCAUUACCGAAGUACAGGCCCCUUCGGGGGCUAAACUUCCACCCUUUGUUUACCAUACCAUUGUUGCUUUGGCGGGCCGCCUAGCUACUGGCUUCGGCUGGUAAGUGCCCGCCAGAGAACCCCAAACCCAAACCAUUUAUAGUGUCGUCUGAAUAAAAAGUUUAAUAUUUAAAACUUUCAACAACGGAUCUCUUGGCUCUGGCAUCGAUGAAGAACGCAGCAUCUGACU